rnacentral:misc_RNA from 1 species
UGCUGGCUUCCUUAAGUGGAUGGUCUGCUCCCUUUAAAUGCAUUAGUGGGAUCUCUUGUGGACCGUCACUUGGUGUGAUAAUUAUCUACGCCUCGUCGACUUUGAAGCAAACUUAUGGGAACCUGCUUAUAACCGUCUCGCAAGAGACAACUUUCUGACAUUUUGACCUCAAAUCAGGUAGGACUACCCGCUGAACUUAA